GAAUUAACAUCGGCGCCAUACUCGAUCAAGCAUUUAGCGAUAUCGAUCCAACCAUGAAGGGCGGCAACGUGAAGUGGAGUGCGGUUAUCGUAAUCCCUAGCUUGAACAAGCGUAGGAUCUUCUUCUAGAAGUUUCCGGACGGCAGACUUAUCGUUUUGGUGAGUCUUCCAUAGAAUUAGCGAUGUUCGACUCACUCUCGCUUUCUCUUUCUUCUUCUUCUCCGUCGAUGAUGUCGC
rnacentral:misc_RNA from 1 species